GCCUACCGAACGCGCUAACAACACGGAACAACAUGGAGUUAUUUGGACAUAAAUUAUGAACUUCAUCGAAAAAAAACCACAUUUGUUGUCGAACUGGGAUUCCUAGAAGUGCCUUCUGAUGAAGAUUAUUAAAGGGCUGCCAGUCACAGAGGGGUCUGAGGUCCCAAAUUAUUCCGGGGACAGGCAGGUUCAAUGCACUGGAAGAAGCAUGGCCACCCUGACAGAAUGUGAUGAGACACUAGCAAGGCUGGACAGCAUGUGUUUAGUGUGUAUACAGCACAGGAGGCUGCUGAGGGGAGGACCACUCAUAAUAAUGACCGG
rnacentral:lncRNA from 1 species